UAAUUUAAGGGCUGCGGUAAUUUGACCGUGCGAAGGUAGCAUAGUAAGUAGUCUUUUAAUUGAAGGCUUGAAUGAACGGUCGGACAAUAAGAAUAGUGUCUCUGGGAUAGUUUGUUGAAAUUAACUUUUAUGUGAAAAGGCAUGAAUAGUUUAAUGGGACGAUAAGACCCUAUAAAAUUUAAUAGAUAGUAGUAGUUUUUUAAAUUAUAGGUGUAAAGAAAGGUUAGUUAGGUCUAUUUUGUUGGGGCGACAGAAAUAAAAAUUAGAAACUGUUUUUUAGAAUAAAUAAUUAUAAUUAGGUGUUGACCCUAAAAUUUAGGGUAAAAGUUUAAGUUACUUUAGGGAUAACAGCGUGAUUUUUCUAGAGAGUUCUUAUCGACAGAGAUAGUUGCGACCUCGAUGUUGAAUUAAAGAGUCACCCAGGGGCAGGCGUUUGGGUUGAAGGUCUGUUCGACCUUUAAAACUUUACAUGAUUUGAGUUCAAACCGGUGCGAG
rnacentral:rRNA from 1 species